rnacentral:rRNA from 1 species
GACGGAGGAUGCAAGCGUUAUCCGGAAUGAUUGGGCGUAAAGCGCACGUAGGCGGCUUUGUAAGUUAGAGGUGAAAGCCCGGGGCUCAACUCCGGAAUUGCCUUUAAGACUGCAUCGCUAGAAUUGUGGAGAGGUAAGUGGAAUUCCGAGUGUAGAGGUGAAAUUCGUAGAUAUUCGGAAGAACACCGGUGGCGAAGGCGGCCUUCUGGACAGUGACUGACGCUGAGACGCGAAAGCGUGGGGAGCAAACAGGG